AGUGAACGCUGGCGGCAGGCCUAACACAUGCAAGUCGAGCGGCAGCGGGUCCUUCGGGAUGCCGGCGAGCGGCGGACGGGUGAGGAAUACAUCGGAAUCUGCCCUGUCGUGGGGGAUAACCUAGGGAAACUUAGGCUAAAACCGCAUACGACCUACGGGUGAAAGCGGGGGAUCGCAAGACCUCGCGCGACAGGAUGAGCCGAUGUCCGAUUAGCUAGUUGGCGGGGUAAAGGCCCACCAAGGCGACGAUCGGUAGCUGGUCUGAGAGGAUGAUCAGCCACACUGGGACUGAGACACGGCCCAGACUCCUACGGGAGGCAGCAGUGGGGAAUAUUGGACAAUGGGCGCAAGCCUGAUCCAGCCAUGCCGCGUGGGUGAAGAAGGCCUUCGGGUUGUAAAGCCCUUUUGUCCGGGAAGAAAUCGUCUGGGCUAAUACCCCGGGCGGAUGACGGUACCGGAAGAAUAAGCACCGGCUAACUUCGUG
rnacentral:rRNA from 1 species